rnacentral:rRNA from 1 species
UGCCAGCAGCCGCGGUAAUACGGAGGGUGCGAGCGUUAAUCGGAAUUACUGGGCGUAAAGCGUGCGUAGGUUGUAAAGUAUGUUAGAGGUGAAAGCCCCGGGCUUAACCUGGGAAGUGCCUUUAAAACGGCUUUACUAGAGAAUAGAAGAGGGAAGUGGAAUUUCCGGUGUAGCGGUGAAAUGCGUAGAUAUCGGAAGGAACAUCAGUGGCGAAGGCGUCUUCCUGGUCUAUUUCUGACACUGAGGCACGAAAGCGUGGGGAGCGAACAGGAUUAGAUA